rnacentral:rRNA from 1 species
GACGAACGCUGGCGGCGUGCUUAACACAUGCAAGUCGAACGGAAAGGCCCUGCUUUUGUGGGGUGCUCGAGUGGCGAACGGGUGAGUAACACGUGAGUAACCUGCCCUUGACUUUGGGAUAACUUCAGGAAACUGGGGCUAAUACCGGAUAGGAGCUCCUGCUGCAUGGUGGGGGUUGGAAAGUUUCGGCGGUUGGGGAUGGACUCGCGGCUUAUCAGCUUGUUGGUGGGGUAGUGGCUUACCAAGGCUUUGACGGGUAGCCGGCCUGAGAGGGUGACCGGCCACAUUAGGACUGAGAUACGGCCCAGACUCCUACGGGAGGCAGCAGUGGGGAAUAUUGCACAAUGGGCGGAAGCCUGAUGCAGCAACGCCGCGUGCGGGAUGACGGCCUUCGGGUUGUAAACCGCUUUCGCCUGUGACGAAGCGUGAGUGACGGUAAUGGGUAAAGAAACACCGGCUAACUACGU